GUGGCAUCGCCGGGCUCUGGGCUAAGAUCAAGUGUAGUAUCUGUUCUAUCAGUUUAAUAUCUGAUACGUCCCCUAUCUGGGGACCAUAUAUUAAAUUGAUUUGAACAGGAGAUGGUAGGGGCUUCGUUCGGCCCACUCCACGCGACGUAAUCUGGUAUUGCAGUACCUCCAGAGCGUGCACUUUCU